UUUUAGAAUUUGUUUGUUUUACAAUCUAAUUUUUUCAAUCCCUUUUUGACUUUGUUCUGUAUAGGUUAGGCUACACUGUAAAUCAGGGCUCCCUCAGUGUAGCCUGAGUUUAAAUAAAGGUUUAUUGAUUGAUUGAUUGAUUGAUUGAAAUAAUAAAUGAUAAAUAAUAAAUAAAACAGCAUGAUUGAUUUCUGAUUAAGAGUGAUUACACUGAUAAUAAACACUGCUUUACUGACCAACAUAAACACAUUUUUAUUGGAUCUGUUGUUAACACAAUUUUUAGAAACACAGAGAAGCUCAGUGACACACUAAACAUCUCUGCUGAAAAAAAUCAUAGAAACCAUUAGUUUCUGCUGGUUCCUGAUGAUGUCUUAUAGGUGCUAAUGGUGUUCUGUGUUUUUCUGAUGGGUUGAUGUCACAGUGUAAAAGACUUGUCUAACAGGUGUUCUGAGGCUGAUUAUAGAUGUAUUUGAUGGUCUCCUAAUGGGAUCUAAAGGUGUUCUACAGGAAACCUGUGUUCUCUGUUGGUAACCAUUAAGCCAAUUUCCAUUAGAAAGCAAGAAAGCAUGAAGUUUUAAUCCUAAUGGUUCUAAUGGUCCUUUCUCAUAAGGGGUGUGGAUGAAAUAUAUAGUUAUAUUAAUCUGAUAUACACCAACAGAUGUUUUGGAACUCAGAACAGUGUUUAGUUACGGGCAGCAUUAGGAGUAAAAAGCCUGGCCUCGUCCUGUUCUCAGAGUAAUAAUCCAAGUUUAUCAAUGUUUAAAAUGACCAGAGAUUUUGUCCAAACAAAUGAUGUUCACUUAAAAAAUGAACUUGGCCUUUAGUAAAUUUUACAUAAUAAAAUUGUGCAUGUUUUUCUCAAUUUAAAUGUGUUUUUGCUUCAACUAACUAAUAAUAAGCAAUGUUGAAAACCAGUAAACUAAACAUAUGAAACAUGCUUAAAGUGAAUUAGAAAUAAUUAUGUUGUGUCAGGGGGUAGAACCUGCGCAUGCGCAUGCACAACUUUUCCGGCAGCCAUUUUCUACACCUCGUCUCUGGGAAGAUUUGGAUUACCUGAGAAGAUUCUGUCAUCUCACAUUCACAAGGUAGGAUAUUGUAUAUUGUCUAUUGUUUGUCAUUAUGGACAUAUAACAUGUUCAUGACAUUUACGCAGAAAAAUAUUGGCAAAAACGUAAGGUUAAGGGAGGACUUAGCAUGGCUUAAAAUUCGCUAUCUUAGCUAACCUAGCUAGCCAGUUUAGUUUAAACCGACACAUAUUCAAAGAACACAUAACAAUACUCUGUCAAAUAAUCACUGAACUUACUAAAGCUGAUCGCAGUGUUUUAAUUGUAAAGGUCAGUGUUUUAAUUUAAUGUGUCCUUCAUAAGUAUCUGUCUAUGUUGAGGUCACUUGAGGUCCUCACUAAGUAUGCGCACGAACACAACCGUUAGCUAACGGUACUGUGGACCUAGCCUGCUAGCUAGCUAAGUAACGGCGCCAUUUUCUAAAGUUCACUGCAGACGAGUGCGUUUAACUGCUGUGUCAUCGUACAAAUACACGGUAAAAUAUUGUUUAGAUGGUUGUAGACGCACACACAACGCAGCGUUGGGUAUAACAGAUGAAAACGUACAGUUAAGGUACGACUAGCAUAGCAUAAGUUUGUGAGGGGCUCAAUUCAAAGCAUAUUCGAAGUAAACAGACCUAGUUGUGUGUCCUUGACAUGAUCUGUAGGUUAAUAAUUUUUCCCAUGGAGGAGGCUGUGCUCGCUUUGCCUGUGAUUUCAGAUAUGAUAUUUGGGUAAUAGGUGUCCACAAAUCUGUGUAAUUUCAGCCUUUGUUAGCUAGCUAAGCUAGGUUAGCUAGCUGGCUCCACCGAGCCUGGAGUUUGGAUAUGGAGCCAGAGCCGGUUUCUGAUGGAGCCUGCAAACGCUAUUGUAGCUAGCGUUAGCUUAGCAAGCAUAGCGUUAGCAGCUAGUAGGUUACAGACAUCAGGUAACUACCUGGUUUAAUUUCAGCGUUUGUCCAUUUAAGACUUAAUGUUCUGUUCAGUGAACCCAGUUUGCAAUGUGUUGUUCCAACAUGGACUCCGAUACCGUUAGCGCAGCUUGCUAGCGUUAGUUAGCUAAGCAAACGUUAGAGUUAGCAGCUAGCUGGCUAACUUAGCUAGUAGGCUACAAGCACCAUGAAGCAGGUUUAACAUUAAUUUCAGCAUUCUGUUCCUUCAACACCAAUCGCUCGACUUUGCUCUAACAGAAUUGUCAGUGGAGAUUUAGUUUGGCAUAAUAGAAUCCAUUAUCUUGUUAACUAUCAAGCUAAUGAUAACUGUUCAGCCCUAUAGUGGAAAAGAGGUUUAUGUUUGCCCAUAUAACAGCAGAGUGUCACUGGUCAUUAUUAUAAUCAGAAUAUCAUUUUGUAUAUAAGAUGGUGCAUGCACACACACUCACAAAUGUAUUUUGCUCAUGUAACUCCCCUGUCAUUGUUACCAAGAUGUGGUUUACCUAAUGUUUAGUCAAACUGCAUUUAUGUUAAACGUUAUGGACUUCAAGUGCCAAGUGGUAUAAUAAUUACUUCUACAUUGAUUUUGAUGCUCAAUAAUGCACAAACCCUAGACAGGGAAUACUGAUAGCCAUAUUGAUUAAAAGAACCAUGAUGUGACAUCAUGUCAUAGUUGGUAGUAAAUGUCAUAGUUGGUUUCAAACUAAAAUAAUGCUCAAAGGAUUAAAACAAAUAGCUAAAUAUGAGUAAAGUAAUAUAUAUUAUUGUAAGACUUUUAAAUUUCAGCCAAAAUAAUGCACUGUUGUGUCCUUCCACAUGGUGAGAUAAAACAUUAAGGUAAAGCGAUAAAACAUUAAAGUAAAGCUUAUGUUUAAGAGAAAAUGUUAGCAUGGUUUUUCAUUUAAUUUUAUUUAAAUGCCCUCUUUGUUUAUAGGUUAAGGCUUACCAAGGUUGUUGAGUGCCAUGUUUUAAAGGAUUCUCUGGCAUGUUCUAAGUCUCUGUUGAAGGUAUAUUCGAACAAGUGCAUUCAAUAUGUGCAGGCAGAGGAUGUCCACCGUAAAACAGAAGCCAUCAUAAAAGCUCUUUGUCCGCGCCUGAAUGAUGAUGAUGGAUUUUUUAAUCAAGGAGUACAUGGACAUUCAUGGUGAAGGCAUCUUGAGAGACCAGCACAGCACUGAAAUGGGCAUUUAUGUCAUCAGAAGAGGGUGGAGCUCUAGGAGAAUAUGAAGACGUUGACGCUGAUGGAAACAUUAUUGUAGGAAACAUCAAAUCAGUCGCACCGGACUGCAGUAAUGCUUGGAGUAAUCUAUGCACUGAAUAUGGCUCACCACAAUGGGCGGAAAUGCUGCUAUGAAUUUGUACAUUCCUCAUGCCAAAGGAUGGUGCAAAGCUCUCCCCUAAUAUUCUUGGUUUGGAGAACAAAAUCUUGGGAUAGUCAAAGUAGGCUGUCCAUUCUGGAAAUAUAUGGAACUUUUCACACCAGCUUCUACUUUGAUUGAAAAGCAAUGGACUUUUGAACAACGCUUAAUAAGAAAUAAGAAUGAAUUUUAAGAGAUGUUGACAAAUACAGCCAGUGACAUUUCAAUGAUUUUCUAUACAGUAUGUCAAGAUCCUGGUCAUGUUUAAGAACAAUAUGUCUUAAACAGCAUGCAGUUAAAUUUUAGAAUCUUUUUUGCUAAAAUUGUACAAAGUAGCCUUUUGAACAAUUUGAGCUCUAUAAAUUUUCACCUGCAAUUUGCAUUGUCUCACAAGCAAAAUAAGGUUGUGCUACAGGCAGUGCUUUGACAAGAAGGUUGUACUCUGUAGGCACUAUUCCUGGGGCAUUAUUUUGAUCAUUGAUGACAAUUGGAUGUUGUAUAAAGUCAUAUAACAUUAAUACUGUGUUAUUGUGCUGUUCUGUUUUAAAUAUCUGCUGUUGUAAAGUUGCACUUAAGGUUGGUGUUAUCAUUACAUAAUUACUGAAUGUUACUUCAUUGUUUCACAAAUUCUGGGCCAUUACUUAAGACUUAAUUAAUUGUGAUGAGGCACACACAUUUAGGUGAAUGUGUUUAUAAUUGCAGUGUUCUGUUUGAAGCUUAUUGUUGUAUGUAAAGUUGCAUUUUAGCUUGUGUUGCCUGCAAGACAAGCAAUAAUUGAUUGAUACCUGUGCACUUUUAGAGAAGUAUUUAGUCUAUUUUUUACUACUCUGCUUUAUUUUGUCUAUAGUCUAGUUUUAUUACUUAAUAUUCAGUGUUA